rnacentral:rRNA from 1 species
AGCGGUGGAGCAUGUGGUUUAAUUCGAAGCAACGCGAAGAACCUUACCAAAUCUUGACAUCCUUUGACAACUCUAGAGAUAGAGCUUUCCCCUUCGGGGGACAAAGUGACAGGUGGUGCAUGGUUGUCGUCAGCUCGUGUCGUGAGAUGUUGGGUUAAGUCCCGCAACGAGCGCAACCCUUAAGCUUAGUUGCCAUCAUUAAGUUGGGCACUC